GUGCUCAUUUUUGCAGGACAUAUACUAAAAUUAGAAUGAUACUGUGAAUAUUAGCAUGGUCCAUGUGCAAGGAUGACAUGAAAAUUAAUGAAGCAUUCCAUAUAUUU
ensembl:snRNA U6 U6 spliceosomal RNA